UUAAUAAUGUGGUGGGUCCACCAGUCCCAGGAACAUUGGCUGUGUAACAAAAAUAUGAACACCACACAAGGGUUAAUGGUAUCUGCUAAUAAAUGGGGUA